CAAUAGCUCAGUCGGUAGAGCAACGCAUUCGUAACGCGUAGGUCACGGGUUCGAGUCCCGUUCGU
rnacentral:tRNA from 1 species